rnacentral:tRNA from 1 species
GCCAAUGUAGCUCAGCGGCAGAGCACACGUUUCAUAAGCGUAAGGUCGGAGGUUCAACUCCUCCCAUUGGCA